UUGAUUUAUUUAAUCGUGUUACUCAGAAGAUACUGUAUAAAACAAGAGUUUGGGGUCCUCUGGCGGGCUGCCGAAGCAGGCACCGCCGAGGCAACAAAUGGUAUGUUCACAGGGGUUUGGGAGUUGUAAACUCGGUAAUGAUCCCUCCGCUGGUUCACCAACGGAGA
rnacentral:misc_RNA from 1 species